CUUUUCCUGCGACCAGGGAAUUUAGAGCUGGGGAAGACGCUUCUUCAAGGCUACCAGAUAUUUUCUCCCCAUUUGGCUCAAGGAUUCAAGGAUUCCAGUGUCUGCAAAGGAGCUUAUCUACAAGGUGCUUUAAAAAAAUCACAAUCUACUGUAAGACACAGUAUUAAAUAAAUGAAACAAAACAACCACAACUCACCAACUAAAAGUUUUAUUUGGUGGUUAUGACUUUCUGCUUAUAAACCCUGCUUCCGUUCGUACUCGGGGCUGCCAGAAGAAACAAGGUUCCCGAGUCCUUGUCUGGUGGACCUGACCAAUCACCGACUCUGCUUAUGUGAUGGAAAUAAUAAAAGAUUUUGCUGUUUCACACACUCACUGGUAUAUUCUUUCCCCUUCCUGUGGCUCACAAUGGACAUGAAAUAAUUCUGAGCACCAAUACACAGCUCACAGUUGCCUGUAAUUCCAAUUUCAAGGGAUCCAUCACCCUCUUAUGGUCUUCUUGGGCAGUGCAUGCACACAGUAAAAUGCAGACAAUAAAACAAAAAUAAGAAUAAUAAAAAAAAUUGAAUGUUUAAAUUACCUGUUUAAAUGUUUAAAAAGAAGAAUGUUUGAAUAUACUGUUUGGAAAUGUCUUUGUUUCUUAAACAGAUUAUACUAUUUGCCUUGUAUUUUUAGGGGUAGGACAAUUUGAAUUCAUUGUUAAUUCAUUGUGGUUGUACUGAUUAGAAAUUAAUUUUUGUUGAACUGUACUCUAAGGCAUAAUUUGCUUCUCCACUAACUUUUGGCUCAUUGUAGCAUGUCAGGUUAGUGCUCCUUCACUGAAGGGUGUUGACGAACAUGGCUUUAUUAAUUUCUUGUCAAAUGUGAUUUCUUGGGAUGUAAGUAACCUCUGUCGAUUGCCUGUCAGUAUAAGAAGUUACAGCUGUUUGCCUAAUGUCACUCUGCGCCCAUCAGGGAGAAUAAAAAUAAAUGUUCUCAUUUUAAAUCGCC
rnacentral:lncRNA from 1 species